rnacentral:rRNA from 1 species
AUGGCAAUCCCUUGCAAAGUCUCCCUUGCAAAGUCCGUAUUGUGCGCCAUCGCAAAUCAUCACCUCACUGCGCUCUCGCUUUCCACUUGGGCAAUUCAGAAGCUCAGUAAGAUCACUCGUAACUUCAUCUGGUGUGGAGAAGACUCGGAAAACACGUCUGGCGGACAUUCUCUGGUCAAUUGAAAGACUGUCUGCCGGCCUAAGCCCAUGGGGGGCCUGGGAAUCACUGACCUCGAGAGAUUUGGUCGGGCGCUCCGACUGCGCUGGCCUUGGCUUAUGUGGACUGAUCCUGGCCGCCAAUGGGUGGGCUCUGCGGUGCCCUGCGAUGAGACGGAUAUGGCGCAUUUCAGGGCUUCUACCACCAUCUCCUUGGGCAAUGAGAGAAAAUCCUUAUUCUGGCACGACGACUGGACAGGACGGGGCCCCCUGUCUCGGGCCUUCCCGGAGCUGUAUAAAAUUGCCACCAGGAAGAGGAGAACUGUGAUGAAGGAGCUCCAGGAGGAGAACUGGAUCAGAUCGGUGGCCCGUCUUUCAUCGCCUACCCAUCUGCAGGAGUUCAUUGCCCUCGCAUUAGCUAUCUCUCAGGUUGAGUUGAACCGGACCAGGAGGACUCCAUCACUUGGCGGUGGACCCCAAAUGGCAUAUACUCUGCUGCUUCGGCCUACGCGGUCCAGUUCUCUGCAUCCUAUCCCAGGUUUUCCCCCGCCAAGAUUUGGGAGGCACACGCUGAGCCAAAAUGCAAGUUCUUCGCCUGGCUUGUGCUCCACGGAAAAAUCCUCACGGCCGACAUGCUAG